rnacentral:rRNA from 1 species
CCCUUAGAUGUUCUGGGCCGCACGCGCGCUACACUGAUGAAUUCAACGAGCACUAACCUGUGCCGAAAGGUUCGGGUAAUCUUGUGAAAUUUCAUCGUGAUGGGGAUUGAUUAUUGCAAUUUUUAAUCAUAAACGAGGAAUGCCUAGUAAGCGUGAGUCAUCAGCUCACGUUGAUUACGUCCCUGCCCUUUGUACACACCGCCCGUCGCUACUGCCAACUGAGAUGGGUCCUGAAUUGUUAGGAACGCCCGUCAAGGGGCCUACCCGGUCCCUAGUGCGGUGACGAGAAUAACUGUAAAUGGCAUAUCUUGUAGGGAGUAAAAGUCGUAACA